rnacentral:rRNA from 1 species
AACGAACGCUGGCGGCAUGCCUAACACAUGCAAGUCGAACGAGACCUUCGGGUCUAGUUGCGCACGGGUGCGUAACGCGUGGGAACCUUCCCUUAGGCUCGGAAUAACUCCCCGAAAGGGGUGCUAAUACCGGAUAAUGUCUUCGGACCAAAGAUUUAUCGCCUUUGGAUGGGCCCGCGUUGUAUUAGCUAGUUGGUAGGGUAAAAGCCUACCAAGGCGACGAUCCAUAGCUGGUCUGAGAGGAUGAUCAGCGACACUGGGACUGAGACACGGCCCAGACUCCUACGGGAGGGAGCAGUGGGGAAUAUUGGACAAUGGGCGAAAGCCUGAUCCAGCAAUGCCGCGUGAGUGAUGAAGGCCUUAGGGUUGUAAAGCUCUUUUACCCGGGAUGAUAAUGACAGUACCGGGAGAAUAAGCACCGGCUAACUCCGUG